AAACCAUCCCUUUUUUCCGAUCCCCGUUUCCUAAAACCCUAGUUUCCUCAUUUUUGGGGUUUUUCCUCCUCUUCAAAUCGGCAAAAUGGCGACUUCCAUGCUUCUCAGAAGGCAAUUCUCGCCUACAUCACUAGUAUCCAGGCGCGCUAUCGCCGCCUUCUCUACCCUCUUCAACUCGAGCCAACCACUGGCGGCAGCUUCUUCUACAACGGUAAAAAAUGGUGGUUUUCUGGGUGGAAACAACGUAUCAAACACUGUGUUUACACCUAGUUUUGAAGGUGCCAGGAGUUUGUAUUCGGGACCCGGUCGUCUGGAAUUCAGCGCGUCUUUCGCGUCGCAGGCGGCGGGUUUUGCUGUUGCCGAUUAUCCGGGUGAUGAAAGUCUCGAGAUUUCAAAGCUUGGUAUUCAUCCCGAAAUCGUUUCCUGUUUGGCUAAUAGAGGAAUCACUAAGCUCUUUCCAAUUCAGAAAGCUGUUCUUGAACCUGCAAUGCAGGGUCGUGACAUGAUUGGCCGUGCCAGAACAGGGACAGGGAAAACCCUUGCAUUUGGGAUGCCAAUAUUGGAUAAGAUCACACGCCAUAACGAGAAGAAUGGGGCAGGGAGAGAACCCUUGGCUUUGGUUUUGGCACCCACUAGAGAACUUGCACGGCAGGUGGAGAAGGAGUUUCAAGACUCUUCAAGGCUAGAAACCUUAUGUGUAUAUGGGGGUACACCAAUCGGUCGUCAAAUGUCUGUUCUUAGCCGAGGUGUUGAUGUAGUUGCCGGGACACCUGGUCGGAUUAUUGAUUUGUUAAAGAGAGGGGCUUUAGAUCUUUCUCGUGUUCAGUUUGUUGUUUUGGAUGAAGCUGAUCAAAUGCUUAAUGUUGGGUUUGAGGAAGAUGUGGAGGUUAUAUUAGAGAAGCUGCCACAAAAUCGCCAAACUAUGAUGUUUUCUGCCACCAUGCCAAAUUGGAUUUUGAAGAUAACUAGGAAGUAUUUGAAAAAUCCAUUGACGAUCGAUCUUGUUGGCGAUUCAGAUCAGAAGCUGCCAGAUGGAAUCUCUUUGCAUUCAGUUGUAGUGGAACAUCGUACAAAAGCAGGUGUCAUUGGACCUCUUGUAACGGAACAUGCAAAUGGAGGAAAAUGCAUUGUUUUCACUCAAACAAAACGUGAUGCUGAUAAUUUAGCUAAUGCACUGGGAAGAAAAAAUUUCAGAUGUGAACCCUUACACGGGGAUAUUUCUCAAAAUAUGAGAGAAAGAACACUUCAACGGUUUCGGGAUGGGAGCAUCAACAUUUUGGUCGCCACUGAUGUAGCUGCUCGUGGUCUUGACGUACCCAAUGUUGACCUGAUUAUACAUUAUGAACUCCCAAACAAUUCAGAGAGUUUCGUUCAUCGUUCUGGCCGAACAGGUCGCGCUGGCAAAAAAGGAACUGCUAUUCUCAUGUAUACAAUGGAUCAAUCAAGAGCUGUCAAGGGUAUUGAGCGUGAUGUUGGAUGCAAGUUCCGAGAGCUUUCUCCAGUUUCUACUGAUGGUACUGAGAUGGAGAUGAGCAAGGGUGGUGGCGGACAUUUUGGGUCUGGAGACCGAUUUGGGAAUUCAAGUUAUAAUCGUUCUGGAGGAUAUGGAAACAGAAGCUCUGGACGUUCUGGUGGUUAUGGCGGGGAUUCCUAUUCUGGACGUUCUGGUGGGGAUUCGUAUUCUGGACGUUCUGGUGGUUAUGGCCGGGAUUCCUAUUCAGGACGAUCUGGCGGUUCUGGAAAUUUUGGUUCUUAUGAUAGUUCUCCCAGAUCAGGUGGCGGAUAUGAUGAUUCAGGUGGUAGGUCUGGUUUUGGCAGACCCAGUGGCGGCGGAUACAGUGACAUGGGGAGGACUGACAAAUCUGGUGGUUUUGGUAAUUUUGGUUCAGGCCGCACUAAUAAGAGCAGUGGAGGGUUCGGUAACGCUAAUUCUAGUCGUUUCGGCAGCUUUGGGGACGAUAAAUUUUAAGACGCCAGCUUUUUUUGGCUAUGCUAUCAAUUUUUGAGCAGGGAUCCCAAACCUCUACGGUUGCCGGAGUUGAUUUGGGUUUACAUGGUUUAGACUUGGGGGCUCAUUUUGUACGGGCGAGCAGGUGGUAGAGCAAGUCUGCUGGCUACCUGAAGCCAGUAGGGUGGCUCUCACCUCCAGUUUUAGCUUUCAAAUCAGUGUGUGUGGUUCAACCGGGCCAAAUUCCAUCUAAGUGCCCCAGUUGUUCCUCAUGCUACUAAUAUGUGUCUAAAAGUUCAAUGCAUCAUGAAUUCACACAGCUGCAGGUGAGGAUUUGCCUUCUGCUUCUCUGCCAUUGAAGAUGGUCAAGCCUCUUCUUAUCAAUUGGAAAUCUUUGUUUGAGAAAUUAAAUUACCGAGAAUUUGUAUUAUUUUCUCUUUAGCCUUUUUGAUUUUGAUAUUUAUUUCUUCUUUUUAUUCAGGUGUAUACGCUGUAGUUAGUAUAUCGUAGUUGUCGUGUAGUACUGCAGCAGGUCUUUUUUUUGUUUAGUAAAACAACGUUGCUUAUAACUAUGUAUAAAUAAAACUCUGGGCAACUAAGGUACAUAACUAAGCUAGUGUUCUAGUAGUAGUUGAAGUUCGUUUCAAAAGUCCGUAAUUGGUCAAUAGGUCCGUAGUUAGGUUCCAAUACAUGUAUUUUGCUUGUUUCGAAGUUAUUUCUAUUUAUUUUUCCGCUUCUUUUUA